GCGCCAUUCCGAGUCCGGCGGACGAAGUCGGCCAGCCCCACCCCCCAAGGCUAUAGCCCACCCGUUUUUGUGGCCUUUUUCCGCUGGACGAACUUGGCGCCCCAGCCUUCGGGCGGAUAUUUUUGGUCGCGGCUGUGCCCGCGUGCUCUUUUUGGCACACAGAGGCACCUCACAAAGUCUCGCGCCAUUCCGAGUUCGGCGGACGAAGUUGGCCAGCCCCACCCCCCAAGGCUAUAGCCCACCCGUUUUUGUGGCCUUUUUCCGCUGGACGAACUUGGCGCCCCGGCCUUCGUGCGGUUAUUUUUGGGCGCGGCGAUGCCCACGGCCUAUUUUUGGUACACGGAGGCGCGUCGCAAAGUUUCGCGCCAUUCCGAGUCCGGCGGACGAAGUAGGCCAGCCCCACCCCCCAAGGCUAUAGCCCACCCCGGUUUUUUGGCCUUUUUCCGCUGGACGAAUUUGGCGCCCCGGCCUUCGGGCAGUUAUUUUUUUGUGCUGCUGUGCCCGCGGCCUAUUUUUGGCACAUGGAGGCACCUCGCAAAGUCUCGUGCCAUUCCAAGUCCGGCGGACGAAGUUGGCCAGCCCCACCCCCCAAGGCUAUAGCCCACCCAUUUUUGUGGCCUUUUUCCGCUGGACAAACUUGGCGCCCCGGCCUUCGGGCGGUUAUUUUUGGGCGCGGCUGUGCCCGCGUCCUCUUUUUGGCACACAGAGGUACCUCGCAAAGUCUCGCGCCAUUCCGAGUCCGGCGGACGAAGUUGGCCAGCCCCACCCCCCAAGGCUAUAGCCCACCCGUUUUUGUGGCUUUUUUCCGCUGGACGAACUUGGCGCCCCGGCCUUCGGGAGGUUAUUUUUGGGCGCGGCUGUGCCCGCGGCCUAUUUUUGGCACACGGAGGCGCGUCGCAAAGUUUCGCGCCAUUCCGAGUCCGUCGGACGAAGUAGGCCAGCCCCACCCCCCAAGGCUAUAGCCCACCCCGGUUUUUUGGCCUUUUUCCGCUGGACGAAUUUGGCGCCCCGGCCUUCGGGCAGUUAUUUUUUUGUGCUGCUGUGCCCGCGGCCUAUUUUUGGCACAUGGAGGCACCUCGCAAAGUCUCGUGCCAUUCCAAGUCCGGCGGACGAAGUUGGCCAGCCCCACCCCCCAAGGCUAUAGCCCACCCAUUUUUGUGGCCUUUUUCCGCUGGACAAACUUGGCGCCCCGGCCUUCGGGCGGUUAUUUUUGGGCGCGGCUGUGCCCGCGUCCUCUUUUUGGCACACAGAGGUACCUCGCAAAGUCUCGCGCCAUUCCGAGUCCGGCGGACGAAGUUGGCCAGCCCCACCCCCCAAGGCUAUAGCCCACCCGUUUUUGUGGCUUUUUUCCGCUGGACGAACUUGGCGCCCCGGCCUU
rnacentral:lncRNA from 1 species